AACUUCUCCACUCGUGAUCAGACUGUUUGCUCGUGGGCCUCUACCACAGCUCCAGCUCCACAGGAGCUCCAAUCUGCCGUACAAACCUUGCACUUUCAUGGAAGCCACCAAAAAGAAUUAGCUGUCGCUUCCAGGCCACCAUCCGAUGCCCACUUCGACCUGAAGGACCCCCUGUUGAUCUAAAAUGAAGAGGAAUAAAAAAAACAUUGUUAGGGCUGGAGAGAUGACUCAGCAGUUAAGAGCACUGACUGCUCUUCCAGAGGUCCUGAACUCAAUUCCCUGCAACCACAUGGUGGCUCCCAACCAUCUGUAAUGGGAUCGGAUGCCCUUUUCUGGUGUCUGGAGACAGCUACAGUGUGCUCAUAGAA
rnacentral:lncRNA from 1 species